rnacentral:rRNA from 1 species
GGUUAGCGGCGGACGGGUGAGUAACACGUGGGCAACCUGCCUGUAAGACUGGGAUAACACCGGGAAACCGGUGCUAAUACCGGAUAAUCCUUUUCCUCACAUGAGGGAAAGCUGAAAGACGGUUUCGGCUGUCACUUACAGAUGGGCCCGCGGCGCAUUAGCUAGUUGGUGAGGUAACGGCUCACCAAGGCGACGAUGCGUAGCCGACCUGAGAGGGUGAUCGGCCACACUGGGACUGAGACACGGCCCAGACUCCUACGGGAGGCAGCAGUAGGGAAUCUUCCGCAAUGGACGAAAGUCUGACGGAGCAACGCCGCGUGAGCGAUGAAGGCCUUCGGGUCGUAAAGCUCUGUUGUUAGGGAAGAACAAGUACCGGAGUAACUGCCGGUACCUUGACGGUACCUAACCAGAAAGCCACGGCUAACUACGUGCCAGCAGCCGCGGUAAUACGUAGGUGGCAAGCGUUGUCCGGAAUUAUUGGGCGUAAAGCGCGCGCAGGCGGUCCUUUAAGUCUGAUGUG